rnacentral:rRNA from 1 species
UACGUAGGGGGCAAGCGUUGUCCGGAAUCAUUGGGCGUAAAGAGCGUGUAGGCGGCCUGGCAAGUCUGACGUGAAAUCCCGCGGCUCAACCGCGGUCGGUCGUUGGAAACUGCCUGGCUAGAGUCCGGAAGAGGAGAGUGGAAUUCUUGGUGUAGCAGUGAAAUGCGUAGAUAUCAAGAGGAACACCAGUGGCGAAGGCGAGUCCCUGGACAACUUCUGACGCUGAGGCACGAAAGCUAGGGGAGCAAACAGG